rnacentral:rRNA from 1 species
GGGAGUAUGGUCGCAAGGCUGAACCUUAAAGGAAUUGACGGAAGGGCACCCCCAGGAGUGGAC